GCAUCGAAGUCCCGUAGAAUGUAUGAUAAUAAAAUGAUUAUUUGCUUUCCUUUUUUUUUUUCUUUUUACAAGAAAAUCUGUGUUUUGGUCUAGUAUUUAUUUCUUUUGUAUAUAUAAAGAGAUCGUGAUGACUUAUUUUUUAAGGACAAGACUUUAUUGUUCUAAUUUUGCUUCUCUUUUAUUCAUAUUUGGUGAGAGAGUAAUCGUCGGGCUAAUCGAUUCACUAAUUUAGCAAAUAAUUCAUAUUUGAUUAUAAUUGGAAGAAGAAUUUAUAAAUUAAUUUUUAAUUUAUAAUUUUUUUUUUCUUUUUUGGUAAUAAAAAGAAAAAUUGCUUCUAUUUUUAUAAUUUCUUUUUAUUCGAAUUUGUGAAAACACACGUCAACGCCGUCGGAUUCCGUGCACCCUUCGUCACGGUGUGUUUCUCACCGGUACUCCAGUCGUCACUUAAGUCGGACGGAAGGGGGCCGCUAUCCCCGUCGUCCUCUCUUUUGGCCGCUUCGAUGCACCGAUCAAGGGCAGCACAGCUUGGGAAUCCGUAGUCGGGUGAGCUGCAAAUCCAUUCCCUCCUCCUUCCUCUUUUCCAUUGGCUUGAUCUUGCGGCGAAAACUUCCUUCCUUUCGGCGUACUGCUGAUUACUCUCGGUCAGAUGUGAUCUUUUCUGCCUUCUUUUUUUACUGCCCCAGUCUCUGGCAUGAAUUGGAUAAAGAAAAGACGGCCACUUGUUGAAUGGAAUUAGGUAGUUUGGACAUCUGAAGAGAUACCUUUAAUCAUUGUUUCUGUGGCUUGCUGUUAGAAAUGAACUGUUAAUGAAGGCCGGCCUGAAGGACAAGGGAUUAUUUAGACUUCAGAAUGCAUACUUUGUAAUGAUUUCUUGUAGAACAUUGUCGCAUAACAUUCCAAUAUAGAUUUUCAAGUGAUAUUUGGUCCCAGUUUCUGUUGUUUUUCAACACUUACAAGAUGUUAGAAUGUUCAUCAAGAGUUAGUGUGGUUCAGCAAGAAAUGUGUUGGAAAGCAUAUGAUGUAGAUAGAAAAAACAUACUAGUAUUAGCAGCCAGUGUAUAUCAUGUAUGAUUUAAAAGGAACAUGAGUUUGCUUAAGAAUUGUAUUUGAACUUCUGAGUGUACGUGCAAUAGAGUUCAACUUUAGGUGUUUUGAUAAAGGGGAAUAUGCAGAUUUUAUAUCUUUGGUGAUAGAUUUAUAGCCUAUUUUGAUCUCUUAAUUGUAAUUGGAGUACAAUUGCACGUUCUGAAUUCCUGCAUGUUUCUGAUUGAAGAUGGCAUGAAAAAGUUCAGCAAAAGCAAGCGAUCACCAUCUUUUCUUAGACUAUCUCAACAAUGACAUGUUGUUUCUGUCAGAACCUUCUGGAAUGUACUCCUGGUAGUCAUUUGUUGUAACUCUGGCAUUUGGGUCUUCACCUAUUGAUCCCUUACCAUAUAUUUAAUUUCUGCAUCUAUGUACUUAUCAAUUUGGCAUGUGUCUAAGAAUAUUUCAAGCAUAAGAUAUGCGUAAAUUGGAAGAUGCCUCGAGUGUCUCUUCAAUAGUUAGCCCAUCAGGCCCGAGUCAUUAUAUUUGGUAUCAGAGCCGACCUAGCAUUUGGGCAUGGUGAGGGGGCUCGAGUAGGAAAGGGCUACCCGUAGACGGAGUCAGAGGACUCGUCACGGCGUGAAGCCACCACUGAGCUGCGCCUCACAUGCACUAUGCUAGGGCCUGAUCUGGGUUAUGUUGGGGCUUGACGAGGACGUCAAGCCUUUGAGUGGGGGUGAUUGUAACAUUCCUGAUUAGUCCCACAUCGAAAGUGGGCAAGACUAAGAUUGACUUAUAAGGGUCUGAUGAGUGUACUACUAUUAACUUCAGCUUAAGUAUUUUGGUCAGUGGUUUAGACUAAAACGAAGUUGAUAGGCCAGUUAGCCCAUCAGGCCCGAGUCAUUAUAUAAUUUAUGCUAAACUUCUGAUUCUGUAUCAUAUGAUCUUUAACAAAGUUGAAUCUAACAUAUGCAUUUCUCAAAACCAGACAGAACACCAUAAACUGUAGCUGAUAAUGAAUGGUGGGAAGCCACCGACAAGAAGUUUCAGGCCUGGCCUCGUACUGCAGGGCCACCAGUAGUGAUGAAUCCUAUAACCUGCCAAAACUUCAUUGUAAGAUCAACUGAAUCUUAAGAAAGUUGUCAGCUGGAUGGGAACAGGGAAGACACUAAAUAACUAGAAUUCUAACAGGAGUCUUCCUUGCCUCCCUAACUGAGUUCCCAUGGCUGCUUGCUCCAGCAGAUGACUGCUCGCUAAUGGCUCCCCCAGCAACCAGCUGUUGCCCGGUCCUGCUUAAGCCGCAGCUCUUCUCAGGUUUGUACUUACUCAUGGUUGUAUGAGUUGCAUCAUCCUUCAAACUGCUAUAGAUUUCCUCAGUGGCAGUUGCGAGGUUGCAUCAGUUUUACAUGUUAUAGUAGCCUGUGCAAUGCUUCGAACACCACCGAAGAAUUUGCAGCUGUUCGACCUGGUACGACGAUGGUGUUGCUGGACGAGGCGAUCUAAGUAACAUCAUAGUGAUGGAAUCUUAUCAUAAGUAGAUUCUUUUCUAUUAACUGAUAACUACUCAGAUUUAUAAUAUAUUUUACUUAAUUAAAUAGAAUCAUCUAAUCUAAUGAUACAAUGCAUACUGGGUCGGAGAAGUACUGGACUCCUGACCCUGAAACCGGCGUCUUCGUCCCCGACGAGCACAACGGUGGCAACCACAGCAAGAAUGAUCUCCGUAACACCCUGCAGCACACUGCUGGCGAUUGUUCAUUGGUGUUGGAGCAGACUACCUGGAUCCGGCAGCUCGAUGAAGUUGACAAGCCUCUCCCAAACCUGGAGGAGAAAUGAAGUUGGGCAGAGGUUUCAGUAAGUUGUUUUAGCUCUCACCUUCAUGGUUGUCUUGAGUUGUCUUGGUAGUAGCAGUUUGCAGGUUGCAUGAUUGCUAAAACUUCUCUUUUGGUUCGAACCUGCUUGACAAACAAGACAAAUAGUUCUGCCAAUGCAAUUGCCUGUCCCUCUUUGAGUU